AAGCUAAAGGACAGGCAUGGACAAAGUCCAGAGUCCUCUGUGCGCUCUCCUGUCUGAUAGCACCGUGGGACCACGUCAGGACAGGGAUUGUGAAGCCCUGUGGUCUCCUCAUGCUUCAGCCAACUCCAGGCUGUGCCAUUCAGACACUAUAUGGUCUCCUCCUACUGAUGCCCCCUCCAGGCUCUGUCAUUGUGCUUCCAUGUGACUCCUUGGUAGAUUUGGUCCAUUGUACCCACACGCCGAGGCCCGGGACACUAAAACUUGGGAGUUAAAAGUUCCAUUUCAAAAUUCUCAAUUUCAAUUUCAAAAUCUUAAAUUUGUAUUUAAAAUUCUUAUA